rnacentral:rRNA from 1 species
AUACGGAGGGUGCGAGCGUUAAUCAGAAUUACUGGGCGUAAAGCGUGCGUAGGCGGUUUGCUAAGUCAGAUGUGAAAGCCCCGGGCCUAACCUGGGAACUGCAUUUGAUACUGGCAGACUAGAGUAUGAUAGAGGGGGGUAGAAUUCCUGGUGUAGCGGUGAAAUGCGUAGAUAUCAGGAGGAAUACCAGUGGCGAAGGCGGCCCCCUGGAUCAAUACUGACGCUCAGGUACGAAAGCGUGGGGAGCGAACAGGAUUAGAUACCCUUGUAGUCC